rnacentral:lncRNA from 1 species
CCUAAGAGGCCACAUUGUGACUAACUUAUUUCUCAAACUAAAUUACAAGCUCUAUUUAUAGAGUAAUAAACCUAAGAAACCCUAAUGCGUAAAUGCCAAAAAUACCCUACUACAAAAUCAAAUCAAAUCUCUAAUUAAUUUCCUAAAUAAACCUAAUAAAUUCCAACACCCCCCCCCCCGUCUAACUGAUGGCGGAACACGACAUGGGUUUGCCAAAGUAGAUGUGGAUGCAAGACUUCAAAUUCCAGUGUCAAUACCAAUGCCAAUGCCGAUGCCGAUGCCGAUGCCGAUGCCGAUGCCGAUGCCGAUACCAAUGUCAAUGCUAAUGCCGAUGCCAAUUACGAACUUCCAAACAAACCUGAGCAAACAAACAAAAAAAAACAUAUUUUUUCUUUGCCCGUGUGAGGGCCUAAAAAACUCCAAACAAUUUUUUUUUCUUUUUCCUUCUUUUUCUCUCUUCUUAUGGGCAAACAAGUGCAACAUCACACCUUCUUAAACAACUAAAUAGCAGUGGUGUGGUGGAUCGGUCAGAUCGACUUUUUCCUUGCAAACAAUCAAUACCAAUUAACAAAUCUAAAACGAACGACGCCAAUUAACCCUAAGAGGCCACAUUGUGACUAACUUAUUUCUCAAACUAAAUUACAAGCUCUAUUUAUAGAGUAAUAAACCUAAGAAACCCUAAUGUGUAAAUGCCAAAAAUACCCUACUACAAAAUCAAAUCAAAUCUCUAAUUAAUUUCCUAAAUAAACCUAAUAAAUUCCAACACCCCCCGUCUAACUGAUGGCGGAACACGACAUGGGUUUGCCAAAGUAGAUGUGGAUGCAAGACUUCAAAUUCCAGUGUCAAUACCAAUGCCAAUGCCAAUACCGAUGCCGAUGCCGAUGCCAAUGCCAAUACCAAUGUCAAUGCUAA